rnacentral:rRNA from 1 species
GAACGAGAAAGUGGAGCAAUCCAUGAGUAAAGUGGCGACCGGGUGAGUAACACGUGACUAACCUACCUCCGAGUGGGGAAUAACUCCGGGAAACCGGGGCUAAUACCGCAUAACAUCGCAAGAUCAAAGCAGCAAUGCGCUUGGAGAGGGGGUCGCGGCUGAUUAGCUAGUUGGCGGGGUAACGGCCCACCAAGGCGAAGAUCGGUAUCCGGCCUGAGAGGGCGCACGGACACACUGGAACUGAAACACGGUCCAGACUCCUACGGGAGGCAGCAGUGGGGAAUUUUGCGCAAUGGGGGAAACCCUGACGCAGCAACGCCGCGUGGAGGAUGAAGCCCUUUGGGGCGUAAACUCCUUUCGACUCGGAAGAUUAUGACGGUACGAGUGGAAGAAGCACCGGCUAACUCUGUG